AUGGUAUCAAACAUGCUGAGGACAGGCUGUGUCUGUGUACUGACCGUCUUGCUGUCGCUUGGCUGUGAUGGCUUUACCUUGUCACAGCCCAGAUCCAUGAUCGUCAAAUUAGGAAAGGUAGCGAGGAUUACCUGUACAAAGAAUAAUAUUGGCAAUGACUACGUUCACUGGUACCGUGAAACUCCCGGGAAGGGACUGCAAUGGAUCCUCUAUUACCACUCAGAAGAUAAGACAGAUAUAUCGCCUGAUUUUUCGCGUUUUUCUGCUGAUAAAAGUGGGGACUCGUGCACUCUCAUAAUCAUAAGACCCACCUCGGAUGACAGUGGCAUUUAUUAUUGUGGUGUCUGGGAUUCACACAGCAGCUGCAGACACACAAGAGAUCGUACAAAAACUUGCCUUUCACUCGGAAGCCAACACGGCUGCAGUUGGGUCUCAGUGUAUUGA